GUGGACGCCAGUCUGCAUGGAGCCGACCUUGAAAUACCACCCUUUAAUGUUUGAUGUUCUAACGUGGACCCGUAAUCCGGGUUGCGGACAGUGUCUGGUGGGUAGUUUGACUGGGGCGGUCUCCUCCUAAAGAGUAACGGAGGAGCACGAAGGUUGGCUAAUCCUGGUCGGACAUCAGGAGGUUAGUGCAAUGGCAUAAGCCAGCUUGACUGCGAGCGUGACGGCGCGAGCAGGUGCGAAAGCAGGUCAUAGUGAUCCGGUGGUUCUGAAUGGAAGGGCCAUCGCUCAACGGAUAAAAGGUACUCCGGGGAUAACAGGCUGAUACCGCCCAAGAGUUCAUAUCGACGGCGGUGUUUGGCACCUCGAUGUCGGCUCAUCACAUCCUGGGGCUGAAGUAGGUCCCAAGGGUAUGGCUGUUCGCCAUUUAAAGUGGUACGCGAGCUGGGUUUAGAACGUCGUGAGACAGUUCGGUCCCUAUCUGCCGUGGGCGCUGGAGAACUGAGGGGGGCUGCUCCUAGUACGAGAGGACCGGAGUGGACGCAUCACUGGUGUUCGGGUUGUCAUGCCAAUGGCACUGCCCGGUAGCUAAAUGCGGAAGAGAUAAGUGCUGAAAGCAUCUAAGCACGAAACUUGCCCCGAGAUGAGUUCUCCCUGAGACUUAGAGUCUCCUGAAGGAACGUUGAAGACGACGACGUUGAUAGGCCGGGUGUGUAAGCGCAGCGAUGCGUUGAGCUAACCGGUACUAAUGAACCGUGAGGCUUAACCUUAC
rnacentral:rRNA from 4 species